CCUACGGGAGGCAGCAGUAGGGAAUUUUCGUCAAUGGGCGCAAGCCUGAACGAGCAAUGCCGCGUGAACGAGGACGGUCUUCGGAUCGUAAAGUUCUGUUGAAGGGGAAAAAGAGCGGAGAGAGGAAAUGGUCUCCGAUUGAUAUUACCCUUCGAGGACGUCACGGCUAACUACGUGCCAGCAGCCGCGGUAAUACGUAGGUGGCUAGCGUUAUCCGGAAUGAUUUGGCGUAAAGGGUGCGUAGGCGGUCUGCUAAGUAUGGAGUGAAAGGUACCGGCUCAACCGUAAAAUUGCAAUUGAUACUGGCGGCCUUGAGUAAAGCUGAGGUAGGCGGAAUUCGGGGUGUAGCGGUGAAAUGCUUAGAUAUCAAGAAGAACUCCGAUUGCGAAGGCAGCUUACUAAACUGCCACUGACAUUGAUGCUCGAAAGUGUGGGUAUCAAACAGGAUUAGAUACCUAGUAGUC
rnacentral:rRNA from 1 species